GCUUAGCCGUAAAAAUUGAUAAUAAUUUACAACUAUUAUCCGCCAGGGUACUACAAGCGCCAGCUUUAAACCCAAAGGACUUGGCGGUGCUUCAGACCCAUCUAGAGGAGCCUGUUCUAGAACCGAUAAACCCCGUUAAACCUCACCUUUUCUUGUUUUUACCGCCUAUAUACCGCCGUCGUCAGCAUACCCUGUGAGGGACUUAUAGUAUGCAAAAUGGACACAAUCCAGUACGUCAGGUCGAGGUGUAGCGAAUGAAAAGGGAAGAAAUGGGCUACAUUCCCUAGCAUAGGGAACCACGAAAAGGGUUGUGAAAUCAACCCUCGAAGGUGGAUUUAGCAGUAAGUAAAAAUUAGAGUGUUUUACUGAAACUGGCUCUGAAGCGCGC
rnacentral:rRNA from 1 species